rnacentral:sRNA from 1 species
UCCUGAAGUGGACCUUAUAACCUUG